UACGAAGGGGGCUAGCGUUGCUCGGAAUCACUGGGCGUAAAGGGUGCGUAGGCGGGUCUUUAAGUCAGGGGGGAAAUCCUGGAGCUCAACUCCAGAACUGCCUUCGAUACUGGCGAUCUUGAGUCCGGGAGAGGUGAGUGGAACUCCGAGUGUAGAGGUGAAAUUCGUAGAUAUUCGGAAGAACACCAGUGGCGAAGGCGGCUCACUGGCCCGGUACUGACGCUGAGGUGCGAAAGCGUGGGGAGCAAACAGG
rnacentral:rRNA from 1 species